AUUGAACGCUGGCGGCAGGCCUAACACAUGCAAGUCGAACGAGUGGCGGACGGGUGAGUAAUGUCUGGGAAACUGCCUGAUGGAGGGGGAUAACUACUGGAACCGGUAGCUAAUACCGCAUACCAUCGGAUGUGCCCAGAUGGGAUUAGCUAGUAGGUGGGGUAAAGGCUCACCUAGGCGACGAUCCCUAGCUGGUCUGAGAGGAUGACCAGCGACACUGGACAUGAGACACGGUCCAGACUCCUACGGGAGGCAGCAGUGGGGAAUAUUGCACAAUGGGCGAAAGCCUGAUGCAGCCAUGCCGGGUGUAUGAAGAAGGCUUUCGGGUUGUAAAGUACUUUCAGCGGGGAGGCGUGACCCGCAGAAGAAGCACCGGCUAACUCCGUGCCAGCAGCCGCGGUAAAC
rnacentral:rRNA from 1 species